GACGAACGCUGGCGGCGUGCUUAACACAUGCAAGUCGAACGGUGAAGCGCCUUCCUUUUUGGUGGGUGUGGAUGAGUGGCGAACGGGUGAGUAACACGUGAGUAACCUGCCCCCUUCUUCUGGAUAACCGCAUGAAAGUGUGGCUAAUACGGGAUAUUCUGGGUCUGUCGCAUGAUGGGUCUGGGAAAGAUAUUGUUUCGGUGGUGGAUGGGCUCGCGGCCUAUCAGCUUGUUGGUGGGGUGAUGGCCUACCAAGGCGGUGACGGGUAGCCGGCCUGAGAGGGUGAUCGGCCACACUGGAACUGAGACACGGUCCAGACUCCUACGGGAGGCAGCAGUAGGGAAUCUUCCGCAAUGGGCGAAAGCUUGACGGAGCAACGCCGCGUGAGUGAUGAAGGUCUUCGGAUCGUAAAACUCUGUUAUUAGGGAAGAACAAAUGUGUAAGUAACUAUGCACGUCUUGACGGUACCUAAUCAGAAAGCCACGGCUAACUACGUG
rnacentral:rRNA from 1 species